CGACAGCACCACCACGUUACACCUCGGAUCCUCAGCUGAACUCCUAAGAGGUGAACUUCUAAAUAAUAUAAAGCCACUGCAACAUUACUCAGGUAGAUCGUAGCUGCCACAGAGGAGAUGGACUUUAUACAUCAAAAGCCCUACAUUUCUGUUAGUCAGGUUUGCCUCACCCCAUCAAUUUAGUCCAGAGCCCUGGGAAGUAACAGCGAGCCCAGAAAGCCUGCUGACAAGUCUCUGAGGUGAGCUGCCCUGGUGAGGCAGCAAUAACUUAUUUUCCAUGAUAGAUUGAGGGUCUACAGCCUACAAAGCUGCACAGGAAGGCAACUUAUAACUACUUUACUGUUGCUGCCUUAAAAAAAACAAGUAUAAACAGGAGACCUGACAUAUAACACCACAAAGCAAUUAAACUUGUAGUGCAAUAUUAUUAAGCAGACAGAAGGUGGCUCCAGAACACCAGGCUGAAAAAGCCUUAAGGUACUUGGGAGUGUUUUUAACAAAUCCUGCUCCAAAAUAGUAUCUGGGGACUCUUUUCAUGGCCCUUUUGGACAUACCUAACCAGGUGCCUCAGAAUCCUACUGCUUUGUUUCCAAAAUCAGCAAACAUUUGGAUUUAACAUUUGACUCUACCAACAGGGCUUAAUUCUGUGAGAUCUUAAAAGGAAUGGGACCAUGAGCAUAUUGUGAGGCAUCUGAAAAGGAACCUGAACUUGGUCUCUUAGCUGUAAUCAUCUUGAUCAGCCACAGCCACCAAAACAGAACAGAAACAUUCUCUUAAUAACCAUUACAGACACCCAAGAAAGGAACCUGAAGGCUAAAGAAAGCACUCAAGCUUUGUUCCCUCUUUUUUUGUUUCUUUAAAUGAUGGUUAAUUAAAGCACUUCUGUCACCAAAAGCAGCUAGUGGCUGCAUUAGAUAUGCACAGUAAGAAAUGUUUUAUAGAUAAAGAAGUGGGCUAAAACUUUUGGUUUUUAUCAGCAUCACAUAUGAGUUAUCAGAGUUCAACACCUGAACUCUCACUUCAAACAGUCUAAGCUCCGGGUGCAGAACUGUUUCAUUAUAAGACCGAGAAGAGGGACACUGUAUUGCAGGAGUGCAGAGGCUGGAAAACCAACUAUGAAAGAGUGCAGUUCGGAGUCACCCUUAGAGAAAAACAAAAUCUGAAUAAGUGGAGUUCAGUCCACAGUCACACAAAUGCACAGGAUCAUGGACAGGACAACUUGAGAUGAAUAAAUCUGCUACAACAUCCCAUGGUGUACAGUUUGUUCUUUACUAAUAAAACAAAAACAGAACUAAGGGGGAUAACAGCAAGGAGUGUUACAAAAAAGGAGAAAGACAAAUAAACUAAAAGGAUUAAAAAAAGAAUGUGGCUGUGAGUCAAUCAUUGUGUGUGUGGCAAUGUGUGUGAGUACAUGGAAAUCAAUUAGUCACCAUGUGUGUGAGUGCAUAAAAAAUUGGACACUAUGUGUGUGAGUGCGUGGAAAUUAAUUAGUCAUCAGCUGUGUAGUAUAUUCGACACUAUGCGUGUGAGUGCGUGAAAAUCCGACACUAUGUGUGUGAGUGCGUGGAAAUUAAUUAGUCAUCAGCUGUGUAGUAUAUUCGACACUAUGUGUGUGAGUGCGUGAAAAUUCGACACUAUGUGUGUGAGUGCAUGGAAAUUAAUUAGUCACCAGCUGUGUAUGUAUAUUCGACACUAUGUGUGUGAGUGCGU